CAUUGAUCUGGAAAUGUGCAAAUCCUUCCGUGUUUUGAUUUCUCAAUCAAGGAUUUUUAUUAAAUACUUGAUGAAAAAAAUUUCUAAGUUAUUCUUGUAAGUACUAAGUACAGAUAAUGCAUACGCCACAUGAACAGAUGGGAGGCAUGAGCUGUGCAUUCCCAGAAUUGGUUUGGUUUCUCGACUACAAUUCAUGGCAAGUUUGAAAACAGAUUGAGCCCUUCGAAGUUUGAAAUGCUAAAACAGAACCUGGAAAACUGGAAAAUCGGAGAAUCCAUCAUCGGGUUAGCCAGCUCGUUCCCUCUCCUCCAACAAAAGUAGCAUGAAUCGAUCAUUGUUGAUACACACGCAUGCAGAGACUCCUCGUUUGUGAGGAAAAUAAAAGUGAAAAAGCGAAGGUCUUCUGGUUUUGCAUUAAAUAUUUUACAGAGAGAAUAUUUUACAAACAGAUUUACAUUGAAAAUAUUUUCAGAUAUUUGGCGAGAAACAACAUAAAAUGGCAGUGGUGGCGGCAGUAUUAAAGGUAUGAUAACAAAGUCGUGGUAGUGGUAGUGGAGUAGUAAUGGUGAUAGGGUGGUGGUGAUGGUGGAAAUAGUGCUCAGAUUGUGGUGAUUUGAUGAGAUAACGACACAAAGUCCUCAACGGCAAGGGUGCAGUGGUGGUGGUGGAAGUUAUUGGGUGAUGCUGCUAGGAGAGAUCAUGAGCUGAUAAGUAAAAUAUUUCCCCAUCUUCAUGAGGUAAAAUAUUUUACCCAGAUUUGAUGUUUUUUCUAGGUAUUUUUUGUUUUUUUCCAUUAAAAAUAUAAAAUAGCUGCCAUUGCCUCCUUUUUUAUUCUUCAUACUGAUUUAUACAUAACUUAAUUCCAU
rnacentral:lncRNA from 1 species